AUGAAAGUCACGUUGGCUAAGUUUGGAAAGUGUUCUUGGGAACAGAGCUGGUGCUGCGCAGAGGGGAACAUUCAAGCUUCCAAGUGGUUGGACUUUACCCAUCUCUGGGCAGGUGACGUGCGUGGCUGUGCUGGGCAUCACCAACAGCGGAAGAGGGGGUGCUGCUCAUGCUUCCAGCAGCCACUCACCCGGAAAAGAUUUCCUUUCUCUGCCUGUCCCUUACUGUUUGCCUGGGGACAGCCUGGUGCCAGGAAAGCAGAGUGUCAGGUGUCAAGAGGCUGCCCCUUCCUGAACCUGGCCUCCUCCUCAGGCUGUGGGGAAGGAGCCAGAACACCUGCAAUAAACGUGCAGCAGUGGAGCAGCCACACAACUGCAGUGACGGAAAGCUCCCCCACAACCACAAUUGCAACAACCACAGUGUGCCAUCACACAAGUAAUAACGGCAAUAAGUCUGAUAACUGCAGCAACCGCACCAAUUGCACAGCCACACGGCGCCCACACAGCCCCGGUGACCUGCAGCUACACUGUGCCGGUGGCCGUCUAUCAAAUAUGUAUCACGUGCUGACUUAAGGCCAGAGAGGGAGGUCUGCAGAGCCUCCUGCCAUAGAUCAGUGGAGGCCUGGGAGGCUGCAGAGCUUCUCUGGCCUUUGGGCAAGAAUGGGUUGGUGGGAAGUUGGCUCAGGUGAGUUGGGUUAUGGCCUUGUCUCCUUCUCUGAGGAGAGGUAUGGUCCCUUGAAGACUUCCACGUCAAUUAGGCUCUGAGCCCUAGAAGAGAGCAUCUUUCUCACUUCCCUUUCUGAGGAGGUUGAGGGGCGGUCAUCUGUCUUGUUUUCCUUCCCUGGGGACACCCUGCAAUAAUGAGCGCUGAGCAUAAAUGGAACUCUCUGGUUGGAGGGGAUGAGACAAAGCCACAGGUUUUCCUCUCAUUGCAGCGUCCUAUUUGCUCUGGCGUAUCACAUGAAGGAUGAAGGAGUGGGCCUCUGGCCUUCUGAAAACCACUCUCCAAAAGAGGGACAGGGGGCAGCAAGUUGUUGAGCAGAACCCCCUGCAUACUAUCAGCGUGAUCCUGUAGGGAGUCUCUUCUAUUCAGCCCAGCAGGGGCGCUGACUGUCCUGUGCGUUGAAAGGUGUGGUCCCAGACCCCGGGGGACAUGGUGUGUGUGAGGAGAUAGGCUUGUGUGCAGAGAAACUCUUCAGACUCUCAAGGCAGUCAGGGCUCCGAGGGAGGGAGUGCUGCAGAAAGCCACUGGAGUGCCUGGGGAGGAGCACCCACAUGCUUGGGGCUUUCCAGAAGGUUCCUGGAGAAGGUAGAGCUUGAUACAGCUCCAAAGGAAGGAUUCCAUUCACCAGCAGAGGGAAAAAGAGGGUGUUCCAGGAAGGGGAACAACAUGAGUGAAAGCCCAGAGGCCUUCCAAAAUUCUGGUGGAGUCGUUGAGUAAUUAGGGGGUUAGGAGGGCAGGAAGGAGGACAUAGGAUGGCAGAAGGAGUCAGAAGCUGGAGGGGGAGCAUCUUGGAUGCAGAGUCCUGUAGGCAGCGGAGACCACUGAAGGUUUUCCUGAGAGAUGGGCAGC
rnacentral:lncRNA from 1 species